rnacentral:lncRNA from 1 species
ACCCCCUCCCCUCCCGUGCCAAGGCGGCAACUUUCUCAUCGCAAUGUGAGGCUGGAACCCCCUUUCCCCAAUCCUGUCCCUCUCCUUCUUUCCUGCACUGCCAGGCCUGGGGCAGAAUUUUCCUCUCCCAGCGGCUCUGUGGCUCUGGUCCUGGCUGCAGUGUCUUUGAGCCUCUCCUGCUCCGGAGCCCUGGAGUCCUCACCACUGUCCUCUGGAGCUGGGCCCCUCCUCCCCGCGACCUCACAGCCUCCUUUGUGCUUCUGGCUCAGAUGGGGUGUGGGGGAGGGUGUGGAAAGACCCAGCAUAGGUGGGUGGGGGUGGGGAGGGGAGGGGUCUGGAGGGGGAGGGCACACAGGUGUCCACCAGGGAGAGGCCCAGAAGAGGAUCUGGGACAGUGGCCCAGCCUGCAGGGUGGUGACAAGGUGUGACCUGCCCAGGGCACUGGGGGUACUGGGAACAGGUCAGUGGGUCUGGGGAGAAAAUGAUACUGAUGGUAGGGAGGUUAGAGGGUUCCGGGGCCCCAGCCUGGCUGGGGACAACAGCAGGGGAUCUACACCGGGAUGUGUGGGUGACUGCACGUGCAGGACCGUGCGCGUAACCGUGAAAGUAGACUGUAGGUACGUAGGCAACUUUGUGUGUGGUGUGUGUGCCCAUGUGACCCUGUGUGUGGCCAUGUGUGUGCCCGUGUGCGCGCGCACGCACGCACGCGCGUGCCCAGGCUUGGCCGGUCCUCCCAGCCCCUCCUCCCAGAAGGCAGGAGGGAGGCGGCCAGCACGGGGACGGUGCCAGCGCUGGAGGAGGAAAUGCCGCGCGGAAGCGGCCCGGAAACAGCGGAGGCUCCAUCCCAUCCCAGUGAUCCGGGAAGGACCCGCCGCUCCACACCCAGACCUCCUGGGCCGUGCCGGGGAGACCCGGCCCCUCAGCGGAGGCCAAGGCCGAGGCCGCCCGGGCAGAGGCCUCCUCCAGGCGCUGCACAUCUGGCUGGGCGGGAGGCAGACCCUGCUGGGAGAGCAGACAAAGGCCCGCCCGCGGCCUGCGGGAGGAGGGGGCCGGCGCCCCGGCGGGUCCCCCUCAACUAGCCACUAA